UACGAAGGGGGCUAGCGUUGCUCGGAAUUACUGGGCGUAAAGGGAGCGUAGGCGGACAUUUAAGUCAGAGGUGAAAUCCCGGAGCUUAACUUCGGAACUGCCUUUGAUACUGGGUAUCUUGAGUAUGGAAGAGGUGAGUGGAAUUCCGAGUGUAGAGGUGAAAUUCGUAGAUAUUCGGAGGAACACCAGUGGCGAAGGCAAUCCCCUGGGCCUGUACUGACGCUCAUGCACGAAAGCGUGGGGAGCAAACAGG
rnacentral:rRNA from 1 species